ACCUGCAGAUUUUAAUGUUUCUCAUACUCAUAUGUUGGGACAAACCUUAGUUGUAUGUAGUAUAUGCUCUCACUUGACAAUUAAGCACAAAGAAAAUAAGUAUGCUGUUGAGUUUAUUCCUAACGGAACUGGACCCACAGCCAGACCAGAGGCGAGGGCCUGCUGACCAUCUUAAUAGAUGCACACCAGCCCUUCUGAGUUUUUAGUUUUAGUUUUUCACUUUUGUGCCUCAGUUUCUUGUUUGUGAAACAGGGUUACUGGUACCUGCCUCUUGAAUGCUAUGGAUAUUAAGUAAAGGCACAUUGUUGAGACUAGAGAAGGUUUAAUGACUAGUACUAGGUAGGUGACACUUUACCACUGUUCCCCAGGCUGCUGUUUCCUCGGAGCCCACUCACUGACCUGCUUGGAGAAUGCAAACCUGAAUGGAGAUCGUUUUGGUAGAAAUACCUGAUACAGUGUGUUCAUCCUCAGAACAGGGGUUCCCCACCAUUCUGCCUUUCCUCUCUGGUAUUAGUGUAGCAUCCAGCAUGCCAGUUUCAGAAGUGACAGGCUGGUGCUUGAUUUAGUCUUUAAUCUGAACUUUGCUGUUAAAAUAUUCUUGAUGGAUUUUUAAAGCAUUUCACAGAGAAGCCACCAAAGUUUUCCUGCUAAAUACAUUGGACCUUAAGUCAACUGUUUGGUUUAGUCAAAUAAUAGCUAAGUGAUCCACUGGGCAGUUUUUAGGAGUAAAUAUUAGGAAGAAUUAUUUUCCUCUGGCAUCACAAAUUGUCCUACGUCUUGCUUCAGCCUCCUCUGGUAGAGUCUAGUCUGUCUGAGCACUGAUAAUGUUUAAAUGACUAUGCCUCCCCUGAUAGGCUAUCACAGGUUUCCCUGAAAGGUCUCAUGAGCUCUGUGUGUAGGCCAUAGAAUAGAGUGAUCUCUGCUGAGUGCUGCAUCCAUCCAUGGAGCCUAAGCUGAAGACUCACUGAGCCCACCACAGCUGGCCUUCCUGCCUCAGUUGCCCUGCAGAGUUUAGGGUCUUGGAUUUUGUGAUUCUGUGAUUUGUAGUUAUAAACCUUAACUGCUCGGGGGAAAAUUAUUUUAUUGUAUUGUAAUUUAUUUGUUUAGUCUAGGAAUCAGUGCUGUUGUGACCUUAUACUAAGUCAUUUCUGAUCAUUGGUACUGAACAAGUGGGUACCGCAGAGAGAGAGAGAGAAAGCCACCUCAUCAGGCUCAUGGCAAGUGUUCUUGCACAACAUCCUUAUACUUGCUGUCUGCUUCUCACCUGCUGCCAAGGGCAGCGAUGCUGUGAGCAGAGGAAUUUUAUGAUCUAUCUAAAUAGAUCUAAACAAAGCCAAAGUAAAGUAGUGUUGGACUUGUUUUGUUUUGUUUUUAAUCUUCUUGAUAAGCUUCACUUUGUCAGAUGUAAUGGGGCAUGCCUUUUAUCCCAGCACUGGAAGCAGAGGCUGGUGGGUCUCUAUUAUGAGUUCAAGGCCAGACAGGGUUAUAGUAAGACCUUUUCUUAAGAAAGGAAGG
rnacentral:lncRNA from 1 species